CAGCCGCCGCGGGAAUACGUAGGGUGCAAGCGUCAAUCGGAAUUACUGGGCGUAAAGCGUGCGCAGGCGGUUUGUUAAGACAGAUGUGAAAUCCCCGGGCUCAACCUGGGAACUGCAUUUGUGACUGGCAAGCUAGAGUAUGGCAGAGGGGGGUGGAAUUCCGCGCGUAGCAGUGAGAUGCGUAGAGAUGUGGAGGAAUACCGAUGGCGAAGGCAGCCCCCUGGGCCAAUACUGACGCUCAUGCACGAAAGCGUGGGGAGCAAACAGGAUUAGAUACCCCUGUAGUCCCUGUCUCUUAUAC
rnacentral:rRNA from 1 species